AGGCCGAGCAACAAAGAAGGUAGCAAUGCUAGUUGAUAGAUUCAACUUUUGCCUUAUCCGGUCGGCAAAACUCUGAACACACCUUCCUUUUUUAAGUUCAGUGCCAUUCUUUGUUCUUUUCUCAAAGAAUAGCUUAACUCCAAGUCUUCCAGAGUCACGGCCAUAGCCAAUUCGCCAGCAGCAUCAGUCAUCUUCUUUGUUUUCAAGUAGCAGGGAAUUUAAGGGGAAUCGUCGCAACUCUGCCAUCAUUAUGUUAAGCCCGCCCACAGACUCUAUACGCAAUGUGAUUGGCCGGACUACAGUUAGAAUUUUUCAGCUCGCGAGCCAACGGAGAGUUGCUAGCCCAAAUUGCUAGAUUUUUGGGCUAGAUAAGCAGAUCACUGGUGCAGAUGAGCAGCGUUAAGAACAAGACUUGAGGACAAAAUCCUUAUCCUGCCUCGUGACAUUCAUUUUCAACAAGUAUU